AGUCAGUGUACUUCAUGUCGAGAAACUGCCUAUGUUCAUCAAAAGUACGUACUGUCACGAUCCCAAAGCUAUACGAUACUACAGAUAGCAAGUUAAUUAUCUCACAUCUCCGAAAAUAUCUGUAAUGUUGUACUUCUUUUUGACAAAAUUCAUGCUAAUGUUGUGUUUUUGAUCUAGAGCCCAAUAGACUCCCAUUCAAUCCUUGAAAGAGCCUCUACUUGUCCCAGAAUCGCCCAGAAUGCACCGCGCCGCCUAUUGAAGUAGCAAGGGCAACGUUUCCCAUCUCCGCAAAAUGAUUUCUGAAGUUGUGAAUGUUAGAUUCCACUCUGUGAGACACAUCGAUCUGCAGGUUGAAGAUGAUCUCCAGGCUCUAAGCGUCAGUUCACCAGCUGAACUCUCAGUCAGACUAGUGAAUGGGACCACUUCCUGUUCUGGGACAGUGGAAGCCUUCUAUGAAGGAGAGUGGUUGGGUCUAUGUUCUAUGUGGUGGUGGAGCAUGAGAGAGGUUAAGGUUGUGUGUAGACAGCUGGACUGUGGGAAUCCUGUAGCUGAAUCUAGAGGACGUCUGAUUGAAGAUGGAAGAAGAGGAGUCAGACUAUUGAGUUGUAGUGGACAUGAGUCUUCUUUUAGACAUUGUGACAUCAGAGGGGGACCUGGUUUCUGUUAUGGUGAAUAUUAUCGUCAUGUGAUCUGUUCAGGUAAGAGACUGGUCAUAUUGAGAGAUUUAUUUGUUCAUUAUACAAUAUUACCAUGUAUCAUGUUUUAUGUGUUUUUAUUUCAUUUAAAUAGAGGGAGAGAUGUCAGAUGUAUUUAAACAUUAUAUUUGUGUUUGUCAUAUUGGUUUAUGGGAGAUGUUCAUGGGCAGAUCAUUGUAGUUCAGAUGGUACUGAAGUGAAGCUGCCUGAUGGAUGUCCAGCUGUUUAUUUUCUAUAAAGUGAAGUGAACUUAUUCCUGUCUCCUGCCUGCAUUAUUCCCAACCCGAUCCUGAGUGACUAAGAACCCAUUUCUACCUCUUACAGUAUCAAACAUAGCAAACUACAAUCUUUUAUCCAACAUAUUUGUGUUUAGUCCUUGACA